UACGAAGGGGGGCUAGCGUUGUUCGGAAUUACUGGGCGUAAAGGGCUCGUAGGCGGCCAACUAAGUCAUACGUGAAAUCCCUCAGCUUAACUGGGGAACUGCGUGUGAUACUGGAUGGCUUGGAUUUGGGAGAGGGAUGCGGAAUUCCAGGUGUAGCGGUGAAAUGCGUAGAUAUCUGGAGGAACACCGGUGGCGAAGGCGGCAUCCUGGACCAAUAUUGACGCUGAGGAGCGAAAGCCAGGGGAGCAAACGGG
rnacentral:rRNA from 1 species